rnacentral:rRNA from 1 species
UACGAAGGGGGCUAGCGUUGCUCGGAAUCACUGGGCGUAAAGGGUGCGUAGGCGGGUCUUUAAGUCAGGGGUGAAAUCCUGGAGCUCAACUCCAGAACUGCCUUUGAUACUGAGGAUCUUGAGUUCGGGAGAGGUGAGUGGAACUGCGAGUGUAGAGGUGAAAUUCGAUAGAUAUUCGCAAGAACACCAGUGGCGAAGGCGGCUACUGGCCCG